rnacentral:rRNA from 1 species
UACAGGGGUCUCAAGCGUUGUUCGGAUUCAUUGGGCGUAAAGGGUGCGUAGGCGGCGCGGUAUGUCGGGUGUGAAAUCUCGGAGCUUAACUCCGAAACUGCAUUCGAUACUGCCGUGCUUGAGGACUGGAGAGGAGACUGGAAUUUACGGUGUAGCGGUGAAAUGCGUAGAUAUCGUAAGGAAGACCAGUGGCGAAGGCAGCUCGCUGGGACGGUACUGACGCUGAGACGCGAAAGCGUGGGGAGCAAACAGG